rnacentral:ncRNA from 1 species
UGAAAGACGAUGAUAAGGAAAAGUAGUAUAUACUAUAAUCCAUAGCGAAUCAGGGACGGUGAGAGCCUGGUGAGGCGGUAUAUAUGAAGAACACCUUGGAGUUGCUAACCGAAAUUGAAUGUUACUGUUCAAGAGUAGACUUAGACGGGAGUCCGACCUGUUACAAAUUGGAAAGUAUGGAUUACAUACGAAUGAAAGUUGGUCUUUAUGACAAAUUGGGUGGUACCGCGAAGUUUAACCUUUCGUCCCUUUA